rnacentral:rRNA from 1 species
CAUGGCUGUCGUCAGCUCGUGUCGUGAGAUGUCGGUUAAGUCCGCUAACGAGCGCAACCCUCGCUGUGUGUUACAAGUGUCACACGGUACUGCCGGUCUUAAGCCGGAGGAAGGUGGGGAUGACGUCAAGUCAGCAUGGCCUUUAUGUCCUGGGCUACACACACGCUACAAUGGCCAACACAAUAGGUUGCUAAGCCGCGAGGUGGAGCCAAUCCUCAAAGUUGGUCUCAGUUCAGAUUGCAGGCUGCAACCCGCCUGCAUGAAGAUGGAGUUGCUAGUAACCGCAGGUCAGCUAUACUGCGGUGAAUACGUUCCCGGGGCUU